UUUUUCUUUUUUCUUUUUUUUUUUUUUUAAGAUUUUUUAAUUUAUUUAUUCAUGAGAGACACAGAGAGAGAGAGGCAGAGACACAGGCAGAGGAAGAAGCAGGCUCCAUGCAGGGAGCCUGAUGUGGGACUUGAUCCCGGGUCUCCAGGAUCAUGCCCUGGGCUGAAGGAGGCCCUGAACUGCUGAGCCACCAGAGCUGCCCGGUUUUGGUUUUUCAUCUUGUUUAACUUACAUGUAUUUCUGUGCUUUAGUAUCUUUAUCAGCAAAGCAGCCAUAAGUUAUUAAUAUAUAAUAAUAAGCUGCCUCAGAAGAUUAUGAGGGUUAAUAAUAACCUAACAUGCUUGGCACAUAGUAGGUACUCAAUAAAUCAUAGCAAUUAUUAAAUGGUUACUCCUUCCAUAAAUAGAUACAUAUUUUUUAAAGAUUUUAUAUACUUAUUUAUUCAUGAGAGACACAGAAAGAUAGAGAGAGGAGCAGAGACCUAGGCAGAGGGAGCCUAGAAGCAGGCUCCAUGCAAGGAGCCCGAUGUGGGACUCGAUCACAAAUUCCGGGAUCACGCUCUGAAUCAAAGGCAGAUGCUCAACUGCUGAGCUACCUAGGCAUCCCCACAAAUAGAUAUAUUAGAGUAACCUUACCUGUGUGCCAUUAAAAACCCUUUAGUCUUUGAGGAAUGCACUGCUGACAGUACUGACACUUUUAUAGUAAGUCAGUAUUUUUAUGUGUAAAUGAAAGUUACACACACACCCCCACAUACAGCUGCCUGUUAGAAAAAAUGAACAAUUAGUAAACAUAAGUCAACUCUACACAGAUCAAUAUUCUCUCUCUCCAUUCCACAAUUUCAUUUGGAUGCUUGAAAGCAAUUCUUAUGUCUUUAGGCAUCAUCUACUUACUUUAAAACUACGUAAAGUGAAACAUAAAACACUAUUAUUUUAAAAAGUACAAUAUACCCCGGAGAACGAGGCAAUCCAAGUGAGGGCACAACUCUGUGUGCUACAUCCUAUGCAUAGAUGAUGGAUCUUUCAGGGUGGUAAUUACCCAAGGCUCAUCUCCAUUGAUAAGAAUAACAAAUAUUUAAUACUUUAUAGAGAACAAAGGGUUUUCAUAUAUAUAGCUUUAAAUGCUCUUCAGAAACCAGAGAAAAGAUGCUAUGCCCUUUUUAUGGCAGUAGAAGCAAGGUUAGGGAAGACUAUCCAGACAUUGGCUCACACAUUGGCUCACUACAUGAUUAAAAUUACAGUAUUGUUGUAUUAGUUUGCUAGAGCUGCUAUAACAAAGUACCACAAAAUGAGUGGCUUAGAACAAUAGGAAUUUAUUGUCUCAUCCUUCUGGAGGCUGGAAAUCUGAAAUCAAAGUGUUUCCAGGGUCAUGCCACUUCUGAAGGUGCUAGAGAGGGAUCUGUUCCAGGUCAUUCUUCUAGCUUUGAAUAAUUCUUGGCUUAUGGCACCAUGACUCCAAUCUUCACAAGCCAUUCUCUUUGUGUGUGGGUCUGCCUCUGUGUCCAAAUUUAUAAAGACGCUAGUCAUAUUGCAUGAGGGCCCACCUUAAUGACAUCAUCUUAACUUGAUCAUCCACAAAGACCUUAUUUCCAAGUAAGGUCACCUUCACAGGUACUAGGGAUUAUAUGAAUUUUAGGACACAACUCAACAACUGCCCUAUCUUUCCUCCUUUUAACCUUGCUGGACACAUUGGUGGCAGAGAGUAUUCAUUCAUUCACUCAUUCAUUCAAUAAACAUUGCAGUGCCUAUGUGUCAGGCUCUUUACUGUGUAUUGAUGGUGCAAAAAACAAACUGGACAGCCACCCUGUCCUUGAGAAGUCACACUUUAGAGGAAAUCAGAGAUACAUUAUUAUGAUAAUAAAUAUUAUUGAACACCUACUUCAUGCUAGGUAUUAAAGUAGGUUCCCUUCAUUUACUUUUCACAAUAGUAUGUGGGGUGAUGUAUCAGAGACACACCUGGGGAGAUGGGUGUCUGUCCUAAAUCUGCUCUGGACGACAGGAAUAUUUUUGCAAAUUAGGUAGCACUUCAUCUGAGUCUAAAGGCCUGUGUAGAAAUACACUAGAUAGCUCAAAGGUUGCUGUGGUGAGUAGCACAUUCUAAAGAAGAGCAUUUUAUAAAGGAAAAAAAUAGCACGUGGGAAGGUUAAGAGACAUAAUCGUAAAAUCCACCAAUGCUGAGGCUUUUGUCUAUUUCCCUCGGGUACCUACAGUGCCUGGUUCAUUCAGCCAUCGCCUAACGAAUACAAGGGCAUCACACGGCCAAAGGAAUGCCCUGGCCUGAGGCUCACUGUCGCUAGAAAGGUGGACGAAGGCCUCUUUACGAAGAGGCUUGUUAAUCACACCAAGGGUGAGAAAUCAGGGCCGACAGGUUGAAGAUACACAUACAGCAUGAGGGGAUUCCGGGUGCCUGGCACCCGCCCUGCCCAUUCCCCCUAUUCCCCAGAACACGUCCCAGGGAGCCACCCCCACCCCCACGAGGGCCAGAAGAAUGGAGGUGGGGCCCCAGGGAGCCACCCCCACCCCGCGAGGGCCAGAAGAAUGGAGGUGGGGCCCCAGGGAGCCACCCCCACCCCGCGAGGGCCGGAAGAAUGGGGAGGAGCGCGCCAGCUCCACGCACUCCGAAGUCGGGUUUUUCGGCCAAGGCUGCACUGAAGGCUGCACAAGGCUGGGCCUGAAGUCUAACGGAGCUUUCUUCUCUGCCUCCAACGCGUCCAGCGCUCAUUCCCCUUCCGGCUCCUCCGCCGACUCUCCGGGGACCCCCGGCUGUUGCAGGCCUUCCCGGAACGCCACAGGAGGAAUCCCGGAGCGCGCUCCCUCCGCCGGCCGCGCCCUCCUUCCCUCUGGAAC
rnacentral:lncRNA from 1 species